UCCUGGCUAGGACGAACGCUGGCGGCGUGCCUAACACAUGCAAGUCGAACGGACGAGGGGAGCUUGCUCCCCAAGUUAGUGGCGGACGGGUGAGUAACACGUGAGCAACCUGCCCUUCGAGGGGGACAACAGCUGGAAACGGCUGCUAAUACCGCAUGAAACAGCGGGGAGGCAUCUUCCUGCUGUCAAAGAUUUAUCGCCGAAGGAUGGGCUCGCGUCUGAUUAGAUAGUUGGUGAGGUAACGGCCCACCAAGUCGACGAUCAGUAGCCGGACUGAGAGGUUGAACGGCCACAUUGGGACUGAGAUACGGCCCAGACUCCUACGGGAGGCAGCAGUGGGGAAUAUUGGGCAAAUGGGGGCAACCCUGACCCAGCAACGCCGCGUGAAGGAAGAAGGCUUUCGGGUUGUAAACUUCUUUGACGAGGGACGAUAGCGACGGUACCUCGAAAACAAGCCACGGCUAACUACGUGCCAGCCGCCGC
rnacentral:rRNA from 1 species